AUCCAGUUGACGAGUCCUAAAUACAACAAAACGCGCGUCAAACUGGAU
rnacentral:hammerhead_ribozyme from 1 species